UGGCGUAGGCCGGUGGCUACAGCUCCGAUUCAACCCCUAGCCUGGGAACCUCGGGAGUGGCCCAAGAAAUAGCAACAAUAACAACAACAACAACAACAACAAAGACAAAAGACAAAAAAAAAAAAAUGCACUGAAGAACAGGGAAAGGGUUUAAGCAGGGGAGUAGUGCAAUCAGAUUGGCUCAAUCUGCUGGGACUGGGGUUAAAAAGAAGCACAAGCUGAGGCUUGGAGAUCAACUUGGGGGUGGGGAGUGUUUUAUCUAAUGGGACCUGGUUCUGAAAUAGAGGCAGGAAGAAAGGACAGUAGAGGACGUUUGCCGAGUGAAGCAGGAGGUCAAGUGGACAGCAUGGGGGCAGCUGCAGCAUGUGAUGAGCAGAGAGAGGGAAGGCCCCUGGGGCCAGGUGGAUGGUGUGGAUUAGGAAAGGCUGGAGCAGGUUUGAGGCACAUUAAAUCUGAGGUGCCCAAGGGGUAGGAUGGGAAGGUCCCUGAUAUAGUUGUUCCCCCCAACUUGGGCAGCAGAGAAAGGCUAGGAGCUAUCAGUGCAGGUAAUUGGGGCCAUGGGAACCAUGGGGUCCACUCUGCCUACAUUUCUAGCCCAGCAACAGAGAGAGGCUCUUACUGGUUGUUAAACAGCAGAACCAUUGCAAUAUCACCAGAUCCCUCUGGGACCCCUGGGGAACAUUGUGCAAACCAGGACAUGGAUGCCCAGAGGCAGGAAAGCACUGGCUCUAGAACUCUGACCCAGAACUCCUGACUCCCUCUCAGCUUCUACCUUCACUGGGCCCCUUCAGGCUGCCCAUCCAUGGCCACACAGACAUGCAAAACUGCUCAAGUGGACCCCACUUGUGCAUCUAUGGGUACCAUGUUCCCCCACCCCCGGCAGAUGACAUCACCCUUAGCCUGGGGUCUCUUCCAUCGGGCCAUUUCCCAGAGUGGCACUGCAGUACUCAGAAUCUUAUCACUCCUGACCCAGUGAAGGUGGCCAAGGUAGGGACCUCCUCUCCCCCAGGGUCCAGCAAGGAGAGGCAGGAUAAGGGCACCCCCGAGCACAUCCUCUCUUCACAGAAGAUUGCCCGUCUGGCAGGUUGCAACCACAGCAGCACAAAGAUUCUGGUAGACUGCUCGAGGGCACGAUCAGAGACCGAGAUGAUGCGUAUGUCCAAGAAGAUGGUAGGUGGAAGUUCCUUCCAGCUCUCUGACCCAGCUGCCUGCAAACAACUCUUCUGACCUGAUACCCAGACCACCCCAGGGACCCUGACUCAGGAGCACAUUGGGGAGACUCCCUUUAACUCUAGUCCGCUUCUCUUCCCAAAGAAAUUCUUCCACCUGCACUCGCAUGAAGACCCGGAAGAGAUGAACAGGCUCCAUUCUGUAAUCUGAGCAGUUAUUGAACAUCUACUGGGCGCCAGGUAUUUAGGAUACUCGGUAAACUAUUUAGGCCAAAGUCUUUUGCCCGUGGGGCUGGGGUUCCAGUGAGGAGAGAUAAUAAACCCUACAAAUAAAUGAAUAUUCACCUCUGUAGGGAGUGAUAAGUGAAUAGCAACAAUAGGAGCAGGACAAGGAGGCUGGGCAUGUGGGGAGGGAUGGGGUUUUCUUUUUUCUUGUUUUUUGUAUUUUUUUUUCAGGGCCUGACCCAGGCUCAGGUUGCACCUGUGCCCUACCUUUUGGGUGUCAACAACCCAGAGUUCAGUUGGUUCUUGCCUUUUUUGGCAGAUGAGCUACAGCUCAGAGAGGUUGAGUGAGUUGCCCCAGGUCACGUGGCUAAUGAAUGGCAUGGACAGGAUUCAAAUCUGCUCCCUUGGUUCUGAAGCCCAAGCUCUUUACCCAGCUUGAUGCAGGAAGGAGAAGGUGCUGAGCCUCUGGAUGAUGAAAUACUGGGCCAACUCUGCCAGCACAGGGUGAGUCUGGGCCCCUGACUCAUCUGGGCAGUCAUUCUAAACCUGAUGACCAGCUGUUUCAGAUACUUGUCCUUGCAUGUCCCACAGAAAAUGUGUGAUCAACCCAAGCAGAAUGUCCCAUCUUUCCCUAGUCAGUCACCAGGUCCUCGAUGUCCCUAGAAUAGGUUCCUCUUUGUCCCAUGACCACACUCUUCACUCAAGCACUCCACAGUCACUGUCAAUGCUCUCUCAUGCCCAGCUCAAUACUGGGAGCUGGAGUUCAAGGCUAUCACAGACAUGACCCCCUUCUCCAGAGGCUUGUUAAUGUUUAACAGAAACAUCAGGGGAGUUCCCAUCGUGACUCAGCAGUUAACGAACCCAACCAGUAUCUAUGAGGACUCGGGUUCAAUCUCUGGACUCCUUUGAUGGGUUAAGGAUCCAGUGUUCCCAUGAGCUGUAAGGUAGGUCUCAGGUGCAGCUCAGAUGCCACGUUGCUGUGGCUGUGGCGUAGGCUGGCAGCUGUAGCUCUGAUUUGACCCCUAGCCUGGGAACCGCCACAUGCCUCAGGUGUGGCCCUAAAAGCAAAACAAACAAACAAAAAACAUCAAAUUACAAUCUGGUUUAGUGAGGAUUGUGUUGCGGGAUCAGAGGCACUUUGAGAGCAUCAAGGGGUGUCUGACCAAGCUGGGCUGUGGGGGGGUGGGGGGGGUUCCCUGGCAGAGAUGCCUAGUUCCCCAUCUCCACAUUCUCUCUGCAUUCUGUCCAUCUUCCUAUGACACUCAAGGGGUCUUUCUGAAUUAUCACCUCUUCAAACUCUGCAUGGCUUCCCUCUGCUCCCAGGUAAAGUCCCAUCCCCUUAGCUUGGCACAAAACUUUUUAAAACACUUCCUGUUUCAACUCCUCUCCGGAUCCAUCCUCUUCACACAUUCCGUGUUUUUACCUAACCCUGUACUUGCGCUUCCUCCCAAAGCCCUGGGCCUUCAUACCUCCAACCCUUUGCCCAUACUGUUCCCUCUGCCUGGAAGGUGCCUCUUUGCUAUACGCUUUCCUCUUCUUUCUUGAAGAUCUAAGUAUCAUCUCUGUAAAGCCUUCUUGGACCCCCAACUCCCAAGGCAAGGUGAAUGAGGGAAGGGUGAGAGAAGGAGGCAAGAUGAGGCAAGGUGAAUGAGAGAAGGGUGAGAGAAGGAGGCAAGAUGCACAGGAAUAAUCCUCUCUUCUGGGCAGAAACCCCAAUGGUGGGAAGCUGCCCCACUGGCUAUGUUACAACAAGGAUGAGAAGUACUUGCAGCUGGAUUUAACCACGAUGGGGGUGUGAAGCUUAAGGAGGAGAAAAUGGCCUUUUGGAUGAGGCUGCACCAGCACUAAGGACUGAGAAGCAGGGCAGUUCUGAGGCUGGCUAUGCAGGAGGGAGUCUUAGGGGUUGUCCCACCUCCCAGGCCUUGAGGAGAUUAGCCAUAGACACAUCUGGGACAAGCAUCUAGGCUCCCUGUUGCUUCAGUCUAGAGCCAGAGAUUUAGCCUUUGUUUGGGGCCCUGAACCACCCCCUUUAGCCUGACAUGCCAGAAUGCCCACCUAUCUCACUGACCAUCAGUUAGUCCAGGCCCUUUCACUGCCCUACUGUGCACAGCUACUCAGACUCAGAACAAAUGCUUCUCCCCCUUCUCCAAAUCCUCCCACCCAUCAAGGUCUACUUAAAGCCACUUCUUAUGGGAAGUCCACCCAGACUGCCACCGCUCCUAUCAUUGCACCUAGCUUGCUAUUUACCAUUUAAUCCUGUGCAACUUUGUGCCUGUUCCCAUUGGCCUGAGGCCUUGGGCAGGUUAUAUGUUACAAGGAGUGAAGCUUUGAUAGCUUGGAAUCUUCUGUUCCCUCCAUACCCAUUUCCCCAGGGCCCCUCCAAAGCCUGGACGCAGGAAUGAUCCUCAAUAAGAGCAUAUGACUUGCCCUGAAUGUUUCCAUCUGUCAGAUGGUUGGGUGAAGUAGAUAGUUUCUCAAUGGGAGACCAUGGAGGAAGGGAGCGCUGCCACCUGCUCCCUGUGAGGCUAAGCCUCCUCUGCUCACGCAGUCAAGGGGAGCUGCAGCAGAGUCGCCUGGCCUGCAGAACACUUGGCUUUUUUCCUUGUUGUCUCAAGUGCACCCCUCAGGACAUCCACAUUCUGAGCUCUCUGUCCAUUGGAUUAGGUCUUGGUGUUGCAUCCAGACUCCUCACUCUCUGGUGUAUCUAGCAACCUGACCUGGGCACACCCCAGCCCGUCCCACAGGUUUUUGUUUGGUUUUGGUCUCCCGCCUUCCUUCCUUCUUUCCUUCCUUUCUAGGGCCACAUCUGCAGCAUGUGGAAGUUCCCAGGCUAGGGGUCCAAUCGAAGCUGCAUCUGCCAGCCUACGCCACGGCCACAGCAACUCAGGAUCUGAGCCGCAUCUGAGACCUACCUCACAGCUCAUGGGAACACUGGAUCCUUAACCCACUGAGUGAGGCCAGGGAUCGAACCCACAUCUUCAUGGAUACUAGUUGGGUCCCUAACCCCCUGAGCCACAACAGGAACUCCCGUUUUGGUUUCUUUGUGGGGUUUUUGAGUGCUCAAGUAUGCCUAACACAAAAUGUACCAUUUUAACAAUUUUAAUUUCAGUGACAGUGAGUAUGGUCACAUUACCAUCACUACCAUCCAUCUUCAGAACUUUUUCAUCAUCCCAAACUGAAACCCUGUAUCCAUUAAACAAUAACUCCCUAUUUCCACUCAUCCCCAAACUCUGGUACCCACUCUUCUACUUCCUAUCCUAUAAUUUGUGUAUUCCAGGUACCUCAUAUAAGUGGAAUCACACAAUAUUUGUCCUUUUUUGUCUGGCUUAAUUCACUUAGCAUAUCUUCAAGGUUCAUCCACAUUGUAGCAUAUGACAGAAUUCUAUUCCUUUUUAGGACUGAAUAAUAUUCCAUUGUGUGUACAUACCACAUUUUGUUUUGGUUUUGAAUGAUUUUUAUUUUUUCCAUUAUAAUUGGUUUGCAGUGUUCUGUCAAUGUUCUACUGUACAGCAAGGUGGCCCAGUCACACAUACAUAUAUACAUUCUUUUUUUCACAUUAUCAUGCUCCAUCAUAAGUGACUAGAUAUAGUUCCCAGUGCUAUACAGCUGGAUCUCAUUGCUUAUCCAUUCCAAAGGCAAUAGUUUCUAUCUAUUAACCCCAGAUUCCAAGUCCAUCCCACUCUUUCCCCCUCCCCCUGGGCAACCACAAGUCUGUUCUCCAAGUCCAUGAUUUUCUUCUCUGUGGAAAGGGUCAUUUGUGUUGUAUAUUAGAUUCCAGAUGUAAGUGAUAUUGUAUGGUAUUUUUCUCUUUUUGGCUUACUUCACUUAGUAUGCGAGUCUUUAGUUCCAUCCAUGUUGCUGCAAAUGGCAUUAUUUUGUUCUUUUUGAUGGCUGAGUAGUAUUCCGUUGUGUAUAUAUACACCACAUCUUCUUAAUCCAGUCGUCUGUCGAUGGACAUUUGGGUUGUUUCCCUGUCUUGGCUAUUGUGAAUAGUGCUGCAAUGAACAUACAAGUGCAUGUGUCUUUUUCCACAUUUUGUUUAUCCAUUUACAUGUUUAUGGAUAUUUGCCUUGUUCCCACCUUUUGGUCAUUGUGAAAAAUGCUUAUGAACAUUAGUGUAGCAUACCAGAGAUUUUUAUGUCCCAAACUACAAAGUUGACUAGGGUCUUUAUUUUUAGGGGUUUCCUGAGUAUCUGAGAUAACUAGAGGCUGCAAAGACCCAUGUAAUAGGGGGCACCUGAUACUUCAUACCCCAGCAUUUCAGGCCCCAAAGCAAAAGGAUGGUUGGAGGAGUGGGGAGAACCCCUAUCAAGCAAAAGUUUAUCUUCACAACAAUGUUGUCACAUGGAUUUCAUUAAUCCUAUUCUACCAAUAAAGAAAUCAA
rnacentral:lncRNA from 1 species